UACGUAGGGCGCAAGCGUUAUCCGGAAUUAUUGGGCGUAAAGAGCUCGUAGGCGGUGUGUCGCGUCGGCCGUGAAAACCUGCAGCUUAACUGUGGGCUUGCGGUCGAUACGGGCAUCACUGGAGUUCGGCAGGGGAGACUGGAAUCCUGGUGUAGCGGUGAAAUGCGCAGAUAUCAGGAGGAACACCGGUGGCGAAGGCGGCGAUCUGGACGAUGACUGACGCUGAGACGCGAAAGCGUGGGGAGCAAACAGG
rnacentral:rRNA from 1 species